rnacentral:sRNA from 1 species
UUAAGUCUUCCAACAGGAGUUCGGAG